GAUGUUAGCGGCGGACGGGUGAGUAACACGUGGGUAACCUGCCUGUAAGACUGGGAUAACUCCGGGAAACCGGGGCUAAUACCGGAUGCUUGUUUGAACCGCAUGGUUCAAACAUAAAAGGUGGCUUCGGCUACCACUUACAGAUGGACCCGCGGCGCAUUAGUUAGUUGGUGAGGUAACGGCUCACCAAGGCAACGAUGCGUAGCCGACCUGAGAGGGUGAUCGGCCACACUGGGACUGAGACACGGCCCAGACUCCUACGGGAGGCAGCAGUAGGGAAUCUUCCGCAAUGGACGAAAGUCUGACGGAGCAACGCCGCGUGAGUGAUGAAGGUUUUCGGAUCGUAAAGCUCUGUUGUUAGGGAAGAACAAGUACCGUUCGAAUAGGGCGGUACCUUGACGGUACCUAACCAGAAAGCCACGGCUAACUACGUGCCAGCAGCCGCGGUAAUACGUAGGUGGCAAGCGUUGUCCGGAAUUAUUGGGCGUAAAGGGCUCGCAG
rnacentral:rRNA from 1 species